AUGUUUCUGGCCACACACACCAGGGGGCACACUCUAGAACUUGUUUUUACCCUGAGUCUAAAUGCUGACCGUGUUUGUCCUGAGGACGUUUAUAUUUCAGAUCACCAUUGUGUUUUCUUUAACUUGUCAGUUUCUGCGUCCCCACCUCCUGCUCGCCGUAUGGUUAGUUCUCGUUUUCUUAAUGAGAGCACAGCUAGCAAUGUUUCUGCUGCUUUUGAUCCACCCUGUUCUUCUGAUAACGACCCAGAUUCCUUAACUUCUCAGUUUAACGAGCACUGCCUCUCCAUUCUGGACGACAUCUGUCCUGUCAGAACCAGAUCAGUUCCUGCAGUGAACCCUACUCCCUGGUUUAAUGACAGCCUUCGCAGCCUGAAGCACCAAUGCAGAAAAAUUGAGCGUUUGUGGAAGAAAACCCGUCUCCACGUCCGUCUGCUGCACCUAAAGGAUCUUCUGACAUCCUUUAACUCUGCAGUCAGAGACGCUAGGGUUUCCUAUUUCUCAAACCUGGUGUCCCAGAGCAAAGGGAACCCCAAGGUGCUGUUUAACACCAUCAGCGGUAUCGUCUCUCCUGCCUCUCCUGCAGCCUCCAUCCACUCUGUUGCAGACUGUGAGAACUUUCUGUCUUUCUUUGUGGACAAAGUCAAUAAGGUUAGAUCUAGCAUCUCUCCUUCAGCCUUAUCGCCGCCUCUUCCGACUCCAACCAGGCCCAUCAUCCUAGAUAGCUUUGCUCCUGUUUCUUUGCCUGAGUUAACCAAACUAGUUAACUCUAUGAAGACCUCUGCAUGCCCCCUCCACAUCUUACCCUCAUCUUUGUUUAAAAGUGCUUUUCAGUCCAUCGGCCCCAGCGUGCUCUCUAUAAUUAAUGCUUCUCUGGUCUCUGGUCAGGUCCCUGCUUACUUUAAGAACUCUGUAAUCCACCCGCUUCUUAAAAAACCGAGUCUCGACCCCUCUCUCCAUAGCAGCUUCAGACCCAUCUCUAAACUUCCGUUCAUCUCCAAGAUCUUGGAAAAGGUUGUGGCUAAACAACUCACAGCUGCUCUUGAUGAACAUAACAUCUAUGAUAGCUUCCAGUCAGGUUUUCUUAGAGCUCAUUCUACUGAAACAGCUCUUCUUAGGGUCUCUAAUGACCUUCUGACUCACAGCGAUGCAGGGGACUGUUCUGUUCUUCAAGUGCAGAGUUUUUACCUGACAACGGCACAACACUGA
rnacentral:lncRNA from 1 species